GCCCGUGAUUUAUUUUCGUCAGCUGGCUUCACUAAGCCUAACAACCGCAAUUGCGCAUAAGCAGGGUCAUGACGGUGGUUGUUAACUUGUUAAAUCACCCCAGGUUUUCUCAAUGUAGCGACGAGCGCGGUAACAUAAAAUGGACGGUGUUAGCAACGUAUGACCAGUCGAAAACAUGGACAAGUCUAGAGCAGCCUACUUCACUGAAGAAGAGAAAACGAUCAUCUUAAACAAAUAUGAAGAGUUUAAACACAUAAUACAGGAAAAAAGCUACACAGCUGCUGCUGCCAGAAAAAGAAAGGACAUCUGGCAAAAAAUAACCGACUGCGUGAAUGCGCAAUGCCGUUGGCCAUCUCUUCAGCCUGAUGGCGGUGGUGGUGGACCAGUUCUCCCUGCCUCAACCUCUUGUCCAAUAGUAUUGGCUAAAAAGGCCUAUUGGAUGUCAAAUGUAAGCACACUUGAGACUUUUAUAAAAGAAAGCAUUUCAACAUCAAAUAGCCUACUGGCAGUGUGGAGAUGGCUGACAAUUUAAAGCUGCAACCAUGGCAGUGUGAAAAGAUCCUGGGAGCAAAUAAAGCAUAAACACAAAAACAUAAUUCAAACCGCCAACAGGAAAGAGGCGGGGAAGACAGCAGGGGGCCCUCGUCCACAGGACUACCCUCCUGUUGAGGAGCUGGGCCUCUCCCAGAUUCAGGGUGGCCCCUUAACGGAAUGGGGCAUAUCCCCAGACACAAAUGGCAGCUCCCAAACAGGAAUAUUUGUGAAGGUUGAAGGAGAAUCCAUGUUGUUGUUGUCACCACCCACGCUGCUGCAUACAAAGGUGGAGGUCCUAGAUGACAAGGAGGCGCAGUCAACAUGCUCAGAGAGAACUUUGGGGGAAGAGGGAAAUCUUCCUCCCCCCGAGUUUAUUGCCACCACUUCUAGGCCAAGCGGAUCACCAGGGGUUGGAACAGACAGUGUGAGGACCCUGUACAAAAGAUCCUUAGAGCUGGAUAUAGAGUACAAAAAACUCAAAAUUAGAAAAAUUCAGCUUGAGGUGGAGAAACUAGAGCAUGAAAAGAAGGAAAGGGAGAAGAGAAUGAAACCCCCAGAAUGAAAAAUAAAAUUUUAAAAAACAA